GGGGCGCACAGCGUGUCACCCUUGGCACCCUGAGCCUGUAUAAUUGGUAAGGGAAAGCCUGUUGCGAUGCAUGAGCACUCAAGAAUAUGAAGAUAUAAGAGACCAUGUGUCUUGACGUGUGACCUGUUAACUUUAGUUAACAGGAAUGAUGCAGCUAAUGAGAGCUGGUGUUUGGAAAUGUAUUGCUAAAGGCACCUUGGUUUGUCCCAGCUGAGGCAGCUUGAAGAGGAAGCUGAACCAAAUAGUGUAACUACUGCUGCAAGCACUGAUUGCUCCUUUCCUCAUACAAACCAACAAAAAUCCCUCUGACAUCACUGAAGACACCUUAGAUAAGAAUGUUGUAACCUGGGAAGAUGAGGACCACACAUGCAAAACCACACAAGAGAUGUCUUUGGAUUGGGGGCACAACUGGAAAGCCAACUGUGUUUGGUGCUGUGAACAGCAGAAUCAAGGACAACCCUGCUGUGACAAGCUGGCAUGCCA